rnacentral:rRNA from 1 species
AUUGAACGCUGGCGGCAGGCCUAACACAUGCAAGUCGAACGAGUGGCGGACGGGUGAGUAAUGUCUGGGAAACUGCCUGAUGGAGGGGGAUAACUACUGGAAACGGUAGCUAAUACCGCAUACCAUCGGAUGUGCCCAGAUGGGAUUAGCUUGUUGGUGGGGUAACGGCUCACCAAGGCGACGAUCCCUAGCUGGUCUGAGAGGAUGACCAGUUACACUGGAACGUGGACAGGGGCCAGAUGCCGACGGGGGGCAGCAGUGGGGAAUAAUGCACUAUGGGCGCAAGCCUGAUGAAGCCAUGCAGCGUGUAUAAAGAAGGCCUUCGGUUUGUAAAGUACUUACAGCGGGGAGGCGUGACCCGCAGAAGAAGGACCCGCUAACUCCGUGCAAGCAGCCGCGGCAAUAC